UUCAAGACUAAUGCUAGGGGCCUCUCACGUGAAUUACGUGCUUCAAAUCUUACACCUUGAUGCCAUGUGUUAUAGUAGUGCACGACUCCUGGCAACUGAAGUGUGCACUCAUUUGUUUUCCCUUUAUAGGUUGUUUAUUAUGUACAUUAAUUUUUUAGACCAAAUGAUUUUGGGAUUAUUAACGUACCAAGACUCAAAACUAGAAAAAAAGAAAAAAGGGAAUUAGAGAAGAGAGUAGUGAAGCAAUUGUGCCCUAAAAUCUAAAGUUGAAGUGCGAUAAACCUCUCUCCCGACAGAAGUUGCAACUUUCAACAACAAAUGGCCAGUGAUGAAAUCUACAACAUGUAACUUCAAUCCAUUCUUUUGCUUAUAUUGUCUAUGUUUUUUUUUUUUUUUUUUUGCUUUUCUAAAUGACAAAACGAGAAUGCCAUUGAGGGUGGAUAAAAAAAAUAAAAAAAUAAAAAAGAAUAUACAAAAACUGAUAGUGAUGAGGAGCUGAUGGAAGAACCCAAUAUACUGAUGAUUCAUAUAAAAAUCCUAUUAGUAGCCAUGAUACACAUUACCUUUAGGCCUAUGAGUAGUGUAUUACAUUUUUACUAAUUUGAGAAUGUAUCUUUUGCUACUUUACUGAUAUAAUUUAUACAUGGACUUUAAUUUUGUUAAAUUGUUUUGUGAUAGAUUUUCAAGUUAGUUUAUCAUAUAUCACGAGCAUACAAAAACAACAAAGUAAGUCUCAUUUUCGAUAAAUUUAUGGUCAGCUUCAUGAAUCCUUCUUUGUCAGUAUCCUCUAUUUCAGUUUCAUGGUUUCUUACAAGAAUAUUAGAUAAUUGUAUGAAUUCUUCUAUUGAUAUUGUAUCAAGACUUGUGCCUCUAGACAUACACCUCACCUCAAAAGGGUAGAACACCUCGGUAACAGUUUGAUCCUUUUAAAACAUUUGCAGUAUAUUGACAAUAUCCUUUUACAUCAUCGGCUAUUUCUCGACUGCUAUACAAGGAAUAGACAAUUCACCAGAUAUGGAUGCCUGUUGUCAUUUUCAGGUAAGUGUUGUAAAAUCUACUAAGUGUUUGAAACGUGGCCAAGAUAUAAAUUUUGGUUCUCAAUAUGGUCAAUGAAACUUCAAGCACAUUUCACUCCAAGUGUUUCUUCAUUUGCAUUUAUAGUUGUGUGCUAGGUAUUAGAAACAAUCUACAAAGUGUUGAACACGUGUCCAAGCUAGAAAUUUUGUUCUAAAUGCUGUCAAAGGAAUCUUGAACAUCAAAUGAGAAUCUAUCACGACACCUAUAAU
rnacentral:lncRNA from 1 species